UGCCGACCGCUGCGCCGCUCGCGCGGUG
rnacentral:sRNA from 1 species